CCGCAGCUCUGUGGCGGGCGCGGAUCGGGUCUCGCGAGUAGGGGCGCGGGUCCGGCUCAGACCUGGCGGGGGCAUCGCAGAAUCCAAACGGUCGACGCGCUGCUGAAAGGGCUGGUAUACCAUAGAGAAAAUACCAUCGA